rnacentral:lncRNA from 1 species
CCAGAAUGCUCCAACAAGCUUUACAUAUGUAGAACUUUAAAACUCAAAUCAACCAGUCCGUAUUCUGUCCAACCGGUCAACACUUUUCCUUGCACGUUCCAGUUGGUGGUCAACGCUUUUCCUGGAUUUCUCAUGGCAGUCAACACUCCUCCUAGACCUCUCCAUUUGAUCAAAUGAGAUCCUCAGCUUCUCCAGUUUCUCAGCAGCACUGGCCUGGCUCUUAAGCUUCUCCAACUUCUCUGCAUAGUUCGAUGAUUGGUUCUUCUUCA